CAAAUGAAUUGACGGGGCCGCACAAGCGGAGGAACAUGUGGUUUAAUUCGAUGAUACGCGAGGAACCUUACCUGGGCUUAAAUGUAGAGUGCAUUUUUUAGAGAUAGAAAUUCCCUUCGGGGCUUUCUGCAAGGUGCUGCAUGGUUGUCGUCAGCUCGUGCCGUGAGGUGUCGGGUUAAGUCCCAUAACGAGCGCAACCCUUAUCGUUAGUUGCCAUCUGGUAAUGCAGGGGACUCUAGCGAAACUGCCACCGUAAGGUGAGAGGAAGGUGGGAUGACGUCAAAUCAGCACGGCCCUUAUGUCCAGGGCUACACACGUGUUACAAUGGUCGGUACAGAGGGCAGCUACCUGGUGACAGGAUGCUAAUCUCGAAAACCGGUCUCAGUUCGGAUCGAAGUCUGCAACUCGACUUCGUGAAGCUGGAUUCGCUAGUAAUCGCGCAUCAGCUAUGGCGCGGUGAAUACGUUCCCGGGCCUU
rnacentral:rRNA from 1 species